CUGGAGUGGGCACUAAUGCCAUUGGCUAUGAUCUUGCUCCUGGUUCAUCUUUUGCACGACAUAUGUCUGGGCAAGGAUUUGAUACUUGGAUUCUUGAAGUUCGAGGAGCAGGCUUGAGUGCAAGAAAUAGUGUAAAGGAUCCUCACCAAGGAAAAUUUGAAGGUAUAUCUGAAGAGCAACUUAGCUCAACUGAUGAAGGUCAGUAACAAUGGAUGACUUAUUGCUUAGCAUACAAAAUCAAUCAGGAAGAAAUGGUGAAACUGUAAAACACUUUUUAAAGGAGAAUGCAUGG
rnacentral:misc_RNA from 1 species